rnacentral:rRNA from 1 species
GACGAACGCUGGCGGCGUGCCUAAUACAUGCAAGUUGAGCGCUGAAGGUUGGUACUUGUACCAACUGGAUGAGCAGCGAACGGGUGAGUAACGCGUGGGGAAUCUGCCUUUGAGCGGGGGACAACAUUUGGAAACGAAUGCUAAUACCGCAUAAAAACUUUAAACACAAGUUUUAAGUUUGAAAGAUGCAAUUGCAUCACUCAAAGAUGAUCCCGCGUUGUAUUAGCUAGUUGGUGAGGUAAAGGCUCACCAAGGCGAUGAUACAUAGCCGACCUGAGAGGGUGAUCGGCCACAUUGGGACUGAGACACGGCCCAAACUCCUACGGGAGGCAGCAGUAGGGAAUCUUCGGCAAUGGAAGAAAGUCUGACCGAGCAACGCCGCGUGAGUGAAGAAGGGUUUCGGAUCGUAAAACUCUGUUGGUAGAGAAGAACGUUGGUGAGAGUGGAAAGCUCAUCAAGUGACGGUAACUACCCAGAAAGGGACGGCUAACUACGUG